AUUGAACGCUGGCGGCAGGCCUAACACAUGCAAGUCGAACGGUAACAGGAAGAAGCUUGCUUCUUUGCUGACGAGUGGCGGACGGGUGAGUAAUGUCUGGGAAACUGCCUGAUGGAGGGGGAUAACUACUGGAAACGGUAGCUAAUACCGCAUAACGUCGCAAGACCAAAAAGGGGGACCUUCGGGCCUCUUGCCAUCGGAUGUGCCCAGAUGGGAUUAGCUAGUAGGUGGGGUAACGGCUCACCUAGGCGACGAUCCCUAGCUGGUCUGAGAGGAUGACCAGCCACACUGGAACUGAGACACGGUCCAGACUCCUACGGGAGGCAGCAGUGGGGAAUAUUGCACAAUGGGCGCAAGCCUGAUGCAGCCAUGCCGCGUGUAUGAUGAAGGCCUUCGGGUUGUAAAGUACUUUCAGCGGGGAGGAAGGGAGUAAAGUUAAUACCUUUGCUCAUUGACGUUACCCGCAGAAGAAGCACCGGCUAACUCCGUG
rnacentral:rRNA from 1 species